rnacentral:tRNA from 3 species
AGUUAAUGAACUUGUAAAAGUAUAUAUUUUGAAAAUAUAAAAAAGAAAUAAAAAUUUUCUAUUAACUU